GAUCAUGGCUCAGGAUGAACGCUAGCGGCAGGCCUAACACAUGCAAGUCGAGGGGGUAGAGUUAGCUUGCUAACUUGAGACCGGCGCACGGGUGCGUAACGCGUAUGCAAUCUACCUUGUACAGAGGGAUAGCCCAGAGAAAUUUGGAUUAAUACCUCAUAGUAUCUUUACCUGGCAUCGGGUAAUUAUUAAAGUUCCAACGGUACAAGAUGAGCAUGCGUCCCAUUAGUUAGUUGGUAAGGUAACGGCUUACCAAGACAAUGAUGGGUAGGGGUCCUGAGAGGGAGAUCCCCCACACUGGUACUGAGACACGGACCAGACUCCUACGGGAGGCAGCAGUGAGGAAUAUUGGUCAAUGGACGCAAGUCUGAACCAGCUAUGCCGCGUGCAGGAAGACGGUCCUAUGGAUUGUAAACUGCUUUUAUACAGGAAGAAACAACUCUACGUGUAGAGUCUUGACGGUACUGUAGGAAUAAGGAUCGGCUAACUCCGUG
rnacentral:rRNA from 1 species